rnacentral:misc_RNA from 1 species
GUAGGUGAACCUGCGGAGGGAUCAUUACCGAGUUCAUGCCCUUACGGGUAGAUCUCCCACCCUAUGUUAUUAUUACCUUUGUUGCUUUGGCGGGCCGUCAGAUCUCGGUCAGGCUAUCGGCUCCGGCUGGUAAGCGCCCGCCAGAGGACCCCAAACUCUGAAAUUGGUGUCGUCUGAGUACUAUAUAAUAGUUAAAACUUUCAACAACGGAUCUCUUGGUUCUG